AUUGAACGCUAGCGGGAUGCCUUACACAUGCAAGUCGAACGGCAGCGCGGACUUCGGUCUGGCGGCGAGUGGCGAACGGGUGAGUAAUGUAUCGGAACGUGCCCAGUAGCGGGGGAUAACUACUCGAAAGAGUAGCUAAUACCGCAUACGCCCUACGGGGGAAAGGGGGGGAUCGCAAGACCUCUCACUAUUGGAGCGGCCGAAAGCGGAUUAGCUAGUUGGUGAGGUAAAGGCUCACCAAGGCGACGAUCCGUAGCUGGUUUGAGAGGACGACCAGCCAGACUGGGACUGAGAAAAGGCCCAGACUCCUACGGGGGGCAGCAGUGGGGAAUUUUGGACAAUGGGGGAAACCCUGAUCCAGCCAUUCCGCGUGUGCGAUGAAGGCCUUCGGGUUGUAAAGCACUUUUGGCAGGAAAGAAAUCGCAUCAAUUAAUACUUGGUGUGGAUGACGGUACCUGCAGAAUAAGCACCGGCUAACUACGUGCCAGCCGCCGCCGUAA
rnacentral:rRNA from 1 species